ACACUUUGUUUUUUCACUCAAACGAAAAUCAUUUCGUCAUGAUGCAGUGUGAUUUCGUAUACGAAAUUUAUUCUGUGUCACCCUUAAUCAAUUUCGUCCACAAAAUUCAUUUCGUCCCGAUGCAAAAUUUAUUCUGUCGACGAAAUGAUUUUGUGUCAAAACACAAAAAAAAUUUUCGUCUCCCCUGUCUAUUCAUUUCGUUCCGAUGCGAUAUCUAUUCCGUGGACAAAAUGAUUUUGUGCCAAAACACAAAAAAAUUUCGUCUCCUCUGUCUAUUCAUUUCGUUCAGAUGCGAUAUCCUGUCGACGAAAUGAUUUUGUGUCAAAACACAAAAAAAUUUUGUCUCUGUCUAUUCAUUUCGUUCCGUUGCGAAAUCAUUCCGUCGACGAAAUGAUUUUGUGUCAAAACACAAAAAAAUUUUGUCUCCUCUGUCUGCUAUGGGUCGCUGAUUGCCAGCGCCUGCAGCUAGCUAGCUAGCUGUACUAAAGCUCCGGUCGGGCCGGUCACGUAGCUGUUGACGAGUUGGUGAACUUGUCUUAGCUUAGAUUUCACGUUAUUCAUGCCUACAUGAGCUGCAUACAACUGCUCUAAUCGCUAGGAUGUGGAUGGACAUUGAUUUCAUUUCCAUUCAGCUUUUGGACUGUACCGGUACUGUAACAUAGUAUGGAUGGUCAAUAUGAAGCAAGCUUCAUUGAAUUCCUCCAAGAGCUCUGUACUCUUGUCUGAUUAUUUUGAAGAUGCUUGCUUUGACUGGACUGGGCAAACGAUUCGUCUUAGACAGGAUGCUGCCCCAACCAUAUUUGAUUUCCCGCCUCGUCUUAAAAAUGACCCAAACCAAGGAAUUCCUGGAAAGAAUUUCGAUUUUGCAAACACCCUCCCAGAUACUGCAAAGACACCUGUACCAAAGUCUUCAGCACCUUCAUUUCUCGAGGACCACUACUACUCAAUACCAGAAAGUCCAAGAGGAGUAAAGUGGAAGUUAACACCAAUAAUGGACUGUUAUUAAAAACUUGGAGAAGAGGCCGAAGACCACACAGAAAUCCUGUAGUGUAGAUCACAUGUACUUGCUGUUAAGUUUGGACAAACAUAAUUUGCAAAACUUUACAACAAAUAAUUUACACUGUGUGCAUUCUGAUUAUUUGAAAUAGUUUAUCACUGGGCAUGUAACAAAAGUGAAUUCAUUAAAUAGGAAUG